GUGGGGAAUUUUGCGCAAUGGGCGAAAGCCUGACGCAGCAACGCCGCGUGUGUGAUGAAGGUCUUCGGAUUGUAAAGCACUUUCGACCGGGACGAAAACCCGUUGGCUAACAUCCAACGGCUUGCCGGUACCGGGAGAAGAAGCACCGGCUAACUCUGUGCCAGCAGCCGCGGUAAUACAGAGGGUGCAAGCGUUGUUCGGAAUUAUUGGGCGUAAAGCGCGUGUAGGCGGCUUUGCAAGUCGGGUGUGAAAGCCCUCAGCUCAACUGAGGAAGUGCGCCCGAAACUGCAGAGCUUGAGUGCCGGAGAGGGUGGCGGAAUUCCCCAAGUAGAGGUGAAAUUCGUAGAUAUGGGGAGGAACACCGGUGGCGAAGGCGGCCACCUGGACGGUAACUGACGCUGAGACGCGAAAGCGUGGGGAGCAA
rnacentral:rRNA from 1 species